AUUUUUUGUCUCUACCUCACCCUAUAUAUUUAUGUGAAGACAGCUUUUUACAUUUACUUUCUUCUUAAGGGCACCAGGUCCUGACUAACUGUCAUGCAAGCAGAGCAAAUGAUUUCCCCAUCUAACCAAAGUAGGGCAAAUGCUAGCCAGUGCCGGGUAAAGGGUAUGCAACUGUGCAUGGUCUUGAUGAAUAGGUGGUGCUUCUGACCAAAUACCAAACAAGGGUAAGCCAUGGGAAAGGAGG